rnacentral:rRNA from 1 species
AACGAACGUUGGCGGCGUGGAUUAGGCAUGCAAGUCGUGCAGAAAGGCCCUUCGGGGUACUCGAGCGGCGAAAGGGAGAGUAACGCGUGGAUCAUCUACCCUCAGGACCGGGAUAGCCGGGGGAAACCCCGGGUAAUACCGGAUAAUGUCUCUGGACCAAAGGUGUGAGUCCGCCUGGGAUGAGUCCGCGUCCUACUAGCUAGUUGGUGAGGUAAUGGCUCACCAAGGCAGAGGUGGGUACGGGGUGUGAGAGCACGACCCCGCUCACUGGGACUGAGACACUGCCCAGACACCUACGGGUGGCUGCAGUCGAGAAUCUUCGGCAAUGGGCGCAAGCCUGACCGAGCGACGCCGCGUGUGGGAUGAAGGCCUUCGGGUUGUAAACCACUGUCGGAGGGGAGGAAAUUCUAUGGGGUUCACCCCAUAGAUUGACCUAGCCUCAAAGGAAGGACGGGCUAAGUUCGUGCCAGCCGCCGCCGUAAUAC